rnacentral:rRNA from 1 species
UACGGAGGGUGCAAGCGUUAUCCGGAUUCACUGGGUUUAAAGGGUGCGUAGGAGGGCAGGUAAGUCAGUGGUGAAAUCUCCAAGCUUAACUUGGAACUGCCGUUGAUACUAUCUGUCUUGAAUACCGUGGAGAUGAGCGGAAUAUGAUCAUGUAGCGGUGAAAUGACUUAGAUAUGACAUAGAACACCAAUUGCGAAAGGC